GACGAACGCUGGCGGCGUGCUUAACACAUGCAAGUCGAACGGAAAGGCCCUGCUUUUGUGGGGUGCUCGAGUGGCGAACGGGUGAGUAACACGUGAGUAACCUGCCCUUGACUUUGGGAUAACUUCAGGAAACUGGGGCUAAUACCGGAUAGGAGCUCCUGCUGCAUGGUGGGGGUUGGAAAGUUUCGGCGGUUGGGGAUGGACUCGCGGCUUAUCAGCUUGUUGGUGGGGUAGUGGCUUACCAAGGCUUUGACGGGUAGCCGGCCUGAGAGGGUGACCGGCCACAUUGGUACUGAGAUACGGCCCAGACUCCUACGGGAGGCAGCUGUGGGGAAUAUUGCACGAUGGGCGGAUGCCUGAUGCAGCAACGCCGCGUGCGGGAUGACGGCCUUCGGGUUGUAAACCGCUUUCGCCUGUGACGAUGAGUGAGUGACGGUAAUGUGUAAAGAAGCACCCGCUAACUACGUG
rnacentral:rRNA from 1 species